CCUAGAACUUAAAGUAUUAUAAUAAUAAUAAUAAAAAGAAAAGUGCUCUCCCUAUACCCAGGGUAUAGGAGUCAAAGAUACUGAGAUACCAAGAAGAAUGUGAACACACAGGUUUUGCUAAGCUUCCCCCAGUUCAGUACCAUUAGACCACAUUUAGACCACACCCUUUGUCCUCUAGUCAUAUUUCUUUGUGACUGCCCACCCUUCCUCAAGCCUUUCAUAAAAAAUACAGAAAUUUGCCUCAUUAUUCAGGCUUCAUUUCCUAAAGAAGUCUACAGUGUCAUGAAAAACUUAUAUAAUCAAUUGAUAUUCUUUUCUUUUGUUAAUCUGUCUUCUAUAAUUGCGCCCUCAGCCAUGAACCUAGUGACGGGUGAGGAAAAUCCACUGCUUCUCACCUACAAUUUUCAACACACAAACAAAGGGCAAAACAUUGUUUUAAAAAGUUAUGCAGUUUGUGCAAAAUGAAUGUCAGGGGAAAAAAUAGUCAGGCUAGUGCCUUGCAGAAACACUAUUUUUGAAAAGCUAUUUGGGUGGCAUAGGAGAGCCUAAGCUGUUAAGAAGAUUUUUCAAGCAAGGCGUUAAGAUCAUUCUAAUUGUAAAUGUUAUUAAACCAGGGCUUUCACUUUUUUGUUGUCUUUUAAGACUUAUUUAAACAAUAUGUGCAGUAUUCAUUGUGGAAUUUUUUUUUUUUCCAUGCUGAAGUCCCUAGGGUGUUUUGUGGCAAGGUGCUGACAAAAAUUCAUUUUCGCUGAAUUUCCUCUAGUGAAAUAGUUCUCAAAAAAUUGAUUUCACUGGUUUGCGUGUCUUGCUGAUUUUUGUAGUAAACAGAAGAAGCUCAGUUUUGCAAUGUAAGAUCACAUUGUAGUCACACUUAAAAUUUUAAAUAAUGUGUCAGCAGUGAAAUAAAUUUGACUGAAAGUUCAAGUGAAUAUCUAGCUGAGGUAGAGAGUGAGGUAUGUCCUUUUUGGAUAAUCUGAGGGAUUUUAACUGACAUGUUGAACAUCUUAUAAUGUUACAAGAUAACAUUCCCCAGUGUUCGCUCAAGAUCUAAACUGCCUGAGGACCCUGCUACUGACUCUUUCCAGGUUGAACCCUUGGCAGUUAGGGAAUGUAAUAUUUGUUGGGUAUUUUUAAUGAUUUAUUUUUUAAAUAUUAAAUUUUCUACUUCUUUUCUUUCAGCCUCUGUUUCAGUUUAAUUGAAUAAUAUCUUGAGACAGAUUGACAUACAAACUAUUAAAAAUGUUCAUCAUUUUCAGCUACUUAUUGAUAUGAAACAAGAUUUUCCCCAUUUUACAAAAAAAACCACCCAAAUAUAGAAAUACAGUGUGUGCUGACUUUGAUAUAAAACUAUAUCCAUCACCCAUCCUUCAAAUGUUUGUGUUUUUAGAACAGCCUCUUUUUUUGUUAUUGGUAUUUUAAAAACCAACCUACCCACUCAACCUAACCACUUCUACUGUAUGACAAACACUUAAUAAAUUUUCCUUGUAUUUUCCUAUGCUUCUCACUGAUUGACUUUAUAAGUAAAUAGUAUACUUUUACAUUAAAAACUAUAUAGUACUAUAAUACUUUGAUCUCUUUCAUUUAUUAGAAAUUGUGCAUAAGAUUCUGCCAUUCAAAAAAAUAAAAGAAAAACAAAAAUACUUAGAGGUGACAUCCCACAGAAAAAAAAAGAGAUUCCACUACUCAGAGUUUGAAAUUCACUGUUCUAAGCAAGCAUUAUGUGGUAGAACAAUUUCUGGUCCUGCUACCAGAAGACCUGAGUUUAGUUUCAGAUACACGAAGUAGAUGGUGUGACUUUGGACAAGUCACCUUGCUUCUCAGGCUCUGACUGCUCACCUAUACACAGGGCAGGUUAUGGCAUUCCGGGGAAAUAGAGGAAGCUAGGAUGGAGCUGGAACAGAGAGAAUCUAGAGGGAGCAGAAUGUGGGGCCACCUUCAAAGCUCUACCAUGUGGUACCAUAUCCUUUGGAUAGACUAUAUCGAUUUCUCUACAUCAGAAUAAUUAAAUUGUUUCUAAUUUUUUAGAUAAUGAGGAGCAUUGUGAUGAAUGUAUUUUUACGUAUUUUUAGGUUAGGAAAUUUUUCUGGAAUAAGAAUUAUUGAAUGAAAGAAUAAUAGCUUUAAUUUUUUUCUAAAUACUUUCUGUAAAACACAUUUCUAGAAAAUUUAUUCAAAUUUUGGCCAGAAUUGAGUGAGAGUGUCUGUGCACCUUCCUAUCACUAAUUGUUUUUACAUUUAAAAAAUUUGUCAACUUGAUAAGCAAUAAUGUAUUUAUUAUUGCUUUCAUUAGAUUUCUUAGAUUACUAGUGAAGUUUAAUAUAUGUUUGUGUCCAUCAUUUCUUUGAAUUUCUUUUACUGUGUAUUGCUAACCAUCUCAGUUAUUUUUCUACUGUGUAGUUGGUAAGAGUAAUUGUUUCAUAAAAUUUCUUUGAUUAUAAAGGAUAUUAAUUCAUUGUCAUAUUUUACAAGUAUAUUAUCAAGUUUGUCACUUGUGUUUUAAUUUUAUAAAAUUUCCAUAUAUAAUUUCUACAUUUUUAUGUUGUCAAGCUUGACAUUUGCUCUCACUCAUGACUUUUACGCCUUGAAACUGCUUCUGUAUGCUAAGACCACUAUAUGUGUACAUUUCUAUUUUAUAUUGUUCUUAAUACAAACAGCUAUUAAUCUACUUUUUUUAUGUUUUAUCUGAGAUUGAUAUAACCUACUUUUUUCUAAAAAGUCAGUUUUACCUAUACCAUUUGUUGAAUGAUCCAUCAGUUUCCCAUUGUUUAUGAAGUUUUACUAAUCUUAUACUAAACAUUUCAUAUAUAAUACAAAUCACUUAGUGUCAAUUUUACGUAUUUUUAAUAUUCUAUGAAAUGCGAUAUUUAUACAAAGAUCUUUAUAUACCUUACAGAUUAAUUUUAGUUAUCAGAUAUUUUUAUAAAGCAAUACUGCAUCUGUGUAAUAGCUCUAAGGCAGUCAUACAUCUUCUUGGUGUUUCCACGCCUAGUGCAGAGUUUGGCAUACAUUAGGCACUCAAUAUAUAGUAACGGAAUUACAUGAGCCUUUUUCAAGAGAAAUAUUCUAUUUUGUGUGACAAAAGAAGGGACAUAAAGUAGACUACAUAGAUUGUGUUGGCUACUUCAGUUUCUUUCUCUUUUUUUUUUUUUUUUAAAUAAACACUAAUAAAACAGGAUUGAUAUCUCUUGAAAGUUCUAGUGAAGCAAGGAGGUUUUCCAGAAGGUGGUUGGAUCCCUUUAUUAAAAGCAUCUGUGCCAUGGCCACUGGCAGAAGCCCAAACAGCCUGAAGUGGAUGGCUCUGGGAAAUCACAGAGAGAUAGAAGACAGCCAAAUUCUAAGAUGGAACAAACCAUAAAGUCAUACUCCAUCUUAAUUUGAUGACCCACAGGGAACGUCUUUCUGCCUCGUCAAGUCUAUAAAGCAAGGCAUUUAUGGUGUUCUUGUGCACUUAAUAGGUAACAAGAGUAAUGUAUAAUAAUGCAAUUACACUGACUUCACACAGACUGUUUCUUAAGGUAUUCUGUUGUUAAUUUUACUACUUUCAUUUUCUCCAGGUGUGAUUGAUUUUGCAUUCAUUGUUUUAUAAUAGAUUUCCAUCUUCGGUGAAGCAUUCAGAAAGCAAGUGCCUGGGAAUAUUAUCUCAGGGAAUAUUCACGUUAAAGAAGUCAUAUAAUUCAAAAGAUGAAAAAUGCCAUGUAUCUCCUAUCCAAUAUGGUAAGUAACAACUGAAAGUCAACUCUGGAUCAUCUGUAUAGUGGGGCGAUAAAGAGCAUAUAAAAUCAUAAAUAAACUCAGACUGGUUUUUGUUUUGGAAUGGUUCCUGUACUUCCAUAUGAAUAAGACAGUGACUCACCCCCUUGGGAAUUCACAGUACAUCAAACCAAAUUAGGAAGCCAGGCAGCUGUGACCUGCUUUUGUAAGGGCCAAGAAAACUACAGAGUUUCACUACUGAACCUAGAACUCAGAAUGAUUCCCUGAUUCCCAUGCCAUUUGGGACAUGGGUGUGUCUUACUGACUCAUAUAAAAUGCCACUCCGGGCUUGUGUUUUCUCUUACCUUACCCAGAGUUGUAUGUGAGGAAAUAAAGGCUUGAGAGAUCUUGAGGUGGCAGUUUACAGGAGGACAAAAGGAAACAGGAGUUAGAAUAAACAAUAUUAGUCAGUAACAACUUGGAUGCAAGACUGACCUUAUGCAAUCUCUAAGGUACACUGAAUUGGAGGAGGGAGAGAGCUCUAAACAGCUUGUUCUCAGUCUGCUCCGCCUCCUGAAUACAUCCAUUCAUGUAAGAAAAGGAUUAAAUUCAAGAUAACCCUUGUCAUCUGCGUUCUGUCACAUGGUUAGGAUGAAGACUGACACAGGAGACAAGUGAUGGAUGAAAAAAUAAAUGAGUGGGUCGAAAGGUCCAGCAGGAACCCUGGGCCUUAGCAAGCAGGUGAGGUGGCAGCACCAGGCUGGGCAUCUUUCAUGGUGGUUAGCAGCACAGGCCCUGGACUGGAAUGGCCUGAGUUCAAAUCCAGACAUUACCAGCUGUGUGACAUUGGGCCUGCUCUGCGGGGUUCCCUAACUCAUGUCACUGUGGGCACACUUCCUGAACCAUCACUUUUAAGCAGCCAGAAAGAGAAGGUUGUACUUUUGAAACAACAGCGUCCAAUUGAAAAAACCGGGCUGAAGUCUUCUGAACGUAUGGGACUCUUCUUUAUAAUUUGAACAAAGAAGAGGAGGAAAAUUACAGGGCCACUGCAGCACAGGGCAGGAGAGCUCCCUUCUGUCCUUCUGCUUCUCCUCAAACAAUCCAGCAAAACGAUGCCUGCAAACACCACUCCAAAAGUGACCGGCACGCAUUCCAGCUGCUCGCCACACAAUCAGUCCUUUCUGUCCAGAAAAAGGCCUGGGAUUCAUGCUGGCUUUUGCGUAGUGCGUUUAGCGUCAUGCCGGCCCACUCCCCAUGCCCUCGCACCCACACAGAGAAAGAAAGAGAAACAUGGCAAGGCGGACUGUGCUCGGCUGAUUGUUAGGAAGGCAUUCAGGUACUAGGCUUCCAAGAUGUGUGGCCACGUUCAAGCUCAACUUUGGUGACAUAUUGCACAUCUGCGAUAUUUUUAUAAAUUACAAUAAUCCAAAAAUAAAUAAGAUAUGAAUAUGAAUUCUCUGAAAGAGAAAGAGGCAAUGUGAUGAUUAUAGUGAAAGGAGACAGUAUUGGAUGUUUUAAGCAUUUAGCCACAACUAAGUUAAAAGACUUUGGCAUCUGGUUAGUGUUUCUCUUUUGUCACUUCCCUCCUGCUCAAUUUUCUUAUCAACCAUUAAAAAUGUAUUCAUUGCCCAACCACGUAUGUGUGUGUGUGUGUAUAUAUAUACACAUACAUAUAUAUACACACACAUAUACACAUGUAUGUAUCAUAACACAUUAAGAAUUACAUCAGUCUAAAAAAACGGGACUAUUUUACCAAAAAAUAAAAUAAAAUUCAGGUAUAUUUACCAAAUGCAACAUCUUAUUUGGAAAAAAACUCUCAAAUAUGUUAGGGGCACUUCGUUUUUUUUUUGUUCUUUUAUUUCCAAUCAACUGCAUUUGCUACAUUGAUAUUAUAAUGUGGUCAGUACUGGCCACAUAAUUUGCAGAUUCUAGUGCAAAGUAAAAAUGCAAGGCCCCUUGUUCAGAAGUUAUUAAUGAUUUCAAGAUGGUGACAGCAAAAUGUUAAACCAAGAACGAGCCCUUCUGAGUGUGGGACCCUGUGCAGCUGCACAGGUUGCAUGCCCACGCACCAGCCCUGAAUGUGGCUUCCAGGAAUCCUAAGAGUUCUGUCACUCAGCUUUACAAAGAGCAAAUCAAUUUCACUUCCACAAAAGGUAAAUUAACUCUAUGAGGUUAAUGAACAGCAGUGAGUCGUAUCUUGUGUUACUCAGGCAGGAUGGAUAGGAACGGCCAGUCUCUUAUCAGGUAUACACAGACCUCUUCAGAGACCCUGUAUGUCCCAUGAAGGAGAGACAAGUUAAGAAAUGCAUUAAAAUUUUGUCGAUGCUAUGAUUAAAAGUAAGACUAUGCCCCUACACAUGUCAAAGUUAUUUUACAUCAUGUUUGAUAUAAUAGUUAUAGUUAAUAUCAUACUAUUAGAAGACCAUGAGCUGGUUGGAAAGAAAAUUUAUUGAGACCCCCUUGAUUGACAGUUGGUUAGAAAUGUAAUCAGAAUGUCCAUUUGGAAACAGAGAAAGGAUGGACUGGGGUAAUCUGUUGCUUGUAAGUAUUUCUGGGUUUUCAAGGGGCAGUGGUGGCGUGGAAGGUAAUGGAAUUUGCAAGAGCAAGUACAUAAGCAAAGUGGGCUAUGUGUUAGGGUGAGAGAAUCUCUGGGUGAUCCCCAGUUUUCACGGCUCAGUCAGCAACAAGCAGACAGCUGCCAUCAGGCUAAUAAAGGAUGUUCUGGGGUCUUGGGAGCAUUGGCUUCCCAUUCCAGGUGGAGAUAUUUACUUAUUCUGACUUGCCACAAGGUCAGGUGCUUGCCCCACUUUGCAAUAAUUUAGUCUUUGGCAAAGCAAAUAUUCUGGCCUUAAAAGCCUUGAAAAAGUCCAGUUUAAACAUACAAUUUCUUGCCCAUUCCCUGUGGUAUUUGAAUAUAAAUAAGACAUUUGAUGUGAUGGGAACAAACUCUGAAAGGAGAACAAUUUAAAUCCAAACUGCCUCUUAGUUGGUAAUAUUUUUUAGGAAAAGCAUUCUAUUCAAAUAAAAAAGGAACAAAUAAAGCAACUCUAAAUCUAUAUUGCAUUUUGCUUUGGAAAAAUUAAAAGUACUUUCUUACUAUUUCUCAUAUAUUUAACCUUUUAAUGUUUACAGAAUGGUCCUUCUAGGGCAUUCUAUACAGGAUGCCAGUUUUGAUUUCUGUACAUACUCAUGAGAAACUAUGCAAGUUCAUGCAAAAGUUUUCUAUUAAUUUCUCUAAAAAUACAAUAUUUUGUACAUAAAAUACUGAACUCAUCACUACUUUAAAAAGGAAUUUAAUGUUUUGAUGCUAUUUUAAUUCUAAUAUGUGUGCUAUCCAUUGGAAUUAUGUUCCAAUUUGUUCAUGGACCUCUUUGGCCCUGAACUUGAAGGCAGUCCUUUCAGCACAGUUUGGGCAUUGCAGACUACAGUAGAAAACUAUAGGAGAAGCUCUGAAAUGUAGAAAUUUGCUUUGGUUGACAUUACCCCUAAACAAUUUUUAGAGCUUCCCCAAUAUUGGAAGAAACUUUGUGUGCCCCUCGUUGUAGCUCAGACACUAAACUGAGUAUUUCACUUGCACAUACUCCUGGAAGCAGCAUAUUGGAGUAAAGGAAAUGUAGGUGGUAGAAACACACAGAUCGGUUAGAAUUCAAGCCUUCACCAAGCCUUACCAGCUGUGCAAUCUUUAGCAAAUGAUAACCUCCGUAUAACUCAGUUUCUUCAUCCAUAAAAUGCCACUGAUACAGCCUUUGCUUUUAUAGUUUUUGCAAAGGCAAAAUAGAUGUGAGAUAUUGAGUACAGUGUUUGGGCCAGUUUAGGCGCAAAGAAAAUCUGAAGUCCCUCCCUUAUCUUUGUCCUUUGUUUCCAUGUCAUUAUUCCACAUUACCUAGUAACUGACUCUACUUAGAGCCUAGAAUAAUUAGGCAUCAUUAAAUACAUUUUGAUUGGAAAAAUAAAUUAUUAUCUGGAUAGCAUUGUGGUUAGGAAUACAGAUUUUGAAACCAGACUGCCUGGUUUGGAAUCCAAAUACCAUUUUCUCAGUGGUGUGACUUUGUGAAAAUUAUUUAACUUCUCUCAUCCUGUUUCCUAAUCAGUAGAAUGAGUAGAAUAACAAUAUCAACUUUACAGGGUUGCUGUGAUAAUUGAGCCACUAUGUGCCUGUUAUAUACUAACAGUUAUAUUUCUAUUAGCUAUUUUUCUUCUUCUAGUCAUAGUAACAGAACUAUUUGACUUAUUUGUGAAAAGCUGAGCUAACAAAGCACCAGUUAUAUCUGCCUGUCAGGUAAGCCCUUUAAAAUACUUCCAAAGGAUAAGCAAUAAGCCAAUGAUAUACAACAUCAAUUGCAGGAUUGAAGAACAAAUCUAGGAUAAAAAUAAGAAUAAGUAGGUAUAUUUUUCCAGUUGUCCAUCUGAUGAUCAUUGAUCAACUUUCUAUAUUGAAAUUAAGCAGAGGCCACAGCAAGAGGAAAUAUUGCUUAGAGACUGCUCAAGAAUCUCAAACAUUCUGUUUCAGAUAACUAUGGAUUCUUUUAUUUGAUGUGUAAAAAGGAGAUUUUGCUUUAUUUUCCACAUUAUGUCUAUUGCUGACUCAGGGCACAAAGAAGAACAAAUUGUGUAAUUUGAGUUGAGAGCAAUCAUUUUUGCAGUUGUUCUUUAAAAAAGGAAAAAAAUCCUUCACAUAACGAGCCAAAACUUGCCUAGAGAUCUGUGUGCUCUGCUUCCAUUGACGUCACUUGGAAGUUGUGUGGGCAGAAAUUGGCUGACUUCCUCCAGCAUGUCUUUUUGAAAGUUGAACAUAUUGAAAAAAUGCACCCUUCUUAUCCCAAACUACAGUAUGGAGAAGAACAUCAUAAACAAAUUUUCUGUUUACGUUCAAAUGAACAACUAUAAAAUUCUGAGAGCCACAUUUGCAAAGUAAACCCUCUUAGUGUCCAGUAAGAGGAAGGAUGUCCUCUCUAUUUGAAAAGAGAAUCAUAGGGUGUUACAGCUGAAGGGGCUUUAGAGAUGAUAUCGUUCAAUCAGAUAUGGAAGCUGAAACUCAGAGAGAGAUUCAGGAACACUCCGAAGGUCAGACAGGGCCCAAGGCUGGAUUAGAAUGUAGGCAUUCUGCUUUCUAGUUCAUUGCUCAGCUCAGGACAAAGGGAUGUGUAAUAAUCAUUGUGUCUGCACAUUUCUUUCUCAUUAUAUAAAUCCCAAGCACUGAGGCAACUGUCUGUGAAAACUAGGAAUUUUGUGUGUACAGUAAAACUACCAAUUGCUGUACAUACAGUAAAUAAGCAUAGGGCACUGGAAUUGAAUAGAUUGUGGACACAAUUGGAAGCUCAUAAAGUGCUGCUGCAUACAGCUGCUCCCCGGGGUGUGCUACCGGGUUUCAGUUUGGAGCUUGACUUGUCCACCUAGAGCUUUCUCAGCUCCAUGUGCUCUUCCAGUCACUGAGAGGCUACCUCUUGGAGACAGGAAGAAGAGAGUACCCUAAUUCCAUCUCAGCUUCCACUCCUUUCAGGUUUAUCCUUACAAAAAAAGGUCUGUACUCAUUCAGUCAUCUGUUAUGAGCUGGGCUGUGGCUUUCCACCUAUUGAAAACAUUUUCAAAUUCAAUUAUUUUAAUAAGGUACCACUGUCUUUAUUAAAAUAUGAGUAAUCACAAUUUCCGCCACCAAGAUCCCAUAUACACAACAGUCAAUAGUGAAUAGAUGAAUCAUAUAGGAGAAUGCCUAAAUUUAUAUGCUCCUGAGUAUACAUUAUUACCUGUUAUUCAGCUAGUUGUGUAAAUUUAAAUCCAUAGGAGAAGCCUAAGUAUGAAUGUAGAGUUUUUCUAUUUCUGCUUUGCUUCAUUCUGCUUCUUCCUAAAGAGAAGAAUUCUUUAUAGGUAGAAGGUCAUCCCUUCUGUGGCCAGUCAGUUCAAAAACCUUAGCAGUGGUUGCUACUUUAAUUUCUUUGGUAAACAUCUGUGAUGGUCACAUUUCUAGCAGUUCUGUAAGUGGAAGUCCAACGUGGCAUUCAAAAAUCUUGGUAAAAUUUUAGAAGGGCCAACAGCAUUCAAAUUUAUGGACCAAAGAACCAGCUAUUGAGAAUAAAAGAUAUCGCAUCAAUCUAGCAUAGCUGCUCCAGUUGAAUGCUACCUAGAUACUGGACAGGGGGCUAGGAGAAUCUGCCAUGAUCAACAUUGAAACAACUGAGAGCUCCGAGGCCAAUCACAUAUUCUGUUAAUUGGAAAUACUGAGUGUGUCAGUCUAUCCUAUACGUGAGAAUUUUGAAAAAAAAAAAUACAGAAUAAGGAAAUUAUCCUAAGGACACAUAGGAAAAAAAUUACUGUUAUGGCUAAAAAAAGAUAUUUAAGAUUUGGUUUCUAAAAUAGGCAGCAAAUAGACAUGCCUUUCAAGACACAGGAGCAGAAAGACAUGAAAAAACAGAAAAGACAAAAAAAAAUUAGGAUGAAAAUCAAGCAAGAAUUGGGUAAAAUAGGGUAGAAUAGAAAGAACACUGUAAGUGCAAUACACUUAUCUGAAUUAUCAUUGGAAAUAAUGAAGGUCAGAAUUAAUACUACAGAAAACCGGAUCAAAGACCUAGAGAAAACACUGGAAAAUCUUCAGGAAUGUAGCUAAAAAGGACAAAAAGAGUUGAGAACAAAGAUGUAAAAUAUAGUAGAUAUAAAAGACACUAUAUUAAAAACCCACCUAAAGUUUGCCAGUAUUCCUAAAGGAGUAUACCUAUUUAAGGAGCAAUGACCAAGACAUGGCUAAAGAAAUAUUUUUUGCACUAAAAAGAUUCACGUGCUCAGAUUAAACAUGCUCACUGUGUCCCCAAGAUAUCAAAUUUUAAUAAAAAAGAGAAGGUUUCAUGCUAACAAACUACCUCGCAGGGGUCUUCCCUUUUUAAAAGAUAAUGCUUGUUUGUUUGUUUGUUUUUUAAAACCAGGAUACAUGGGGGAAAAGUUAGCUACAAAGGAACCACCUCAGACUAACUUUAGACAGCUUGUUUACAACAUUAAUUUCUUAAGGUCAGAUAGAGAAAUAACUAGAAUUUGAAGCUUAAAAGGGUGUUAACAAAGAAUUGUAUACAACACAGAAUUCCAGAAGUUAUACAAGGAAAUAACUAGAAUUUUGACAUUAAAGGAUGUUAACAAAAAAUCAUAUACCCAGACAGUUGCCAUCCAUGGCAUAUGUAAAGACAAUAGAAAGAUUUUAUCAUAUGUGCAAUGACUUUGAAAAUAUACUACUCAUGGAUGUUUCUUUAAAA